CGCCUGUUUAACAAAAACAUGGCUGUGUGGCUUAUUAGUAUAGAGUCUAGCCUGCCCACUGAGUUUUUAAAGGGCUGCGGUAAUUUGACCGUGCAAAGGUAGCAUAAUCAAUAGUCUUUUAAUUGGAGGCUUGAAUGAACGGCUGGAUAAGAGAGAAGCUGUCUUUUUUUCAAAUUAGAAUUUGACUUUUAAGUGAAAAGGCUUAAAUUAAUUAGGGGGACGAUAAGACCCUAUAAAACUUGAUAAAAGGCUUAUUUUAACUAUAAAUUAUAUUUAAAAGUUGUGAAAUUCUCUUUUUAUUUUGUUGGGGCGACAUUGAUAUAAGCUGUAACUGUCUUGAUAAUAAAAUAGUUAUCACUACAAUCUGAUCCUUUUUUAGGGAUAAUAAGUAUAAGUUACUUUAGGGAUAACAGCGUAAUUUUGGCAGAGAGCCUUAUACAAGACCGA
rnacentral:rRNA from 1 species